CAAAGUUGAUCGUGUUUAUGACGUCGAAUAUCGACGUCAUAAACACCAAAGUUGAUCGUGUUUAUGACGUCGAAUAUCGACGUCAUAAACAUCUAAG